rnacentral:rRNA from 1 species
UACGAAGGGGGGCUAGCGUUGCUCGGAAUCACUGGGCGUAAAGCGCACGUAGGCGGAUUGCUAAGUCAGGGGUGAAAUCCUGGAGCUCAACUCCAGAACUGCCUUUGAUACUGGCGAUCUUGAGUCCGGGAGAGGUGAGUGGAACUGCGAGUGUAGAGGUGAAAUUCGUAGAUAUUCGCAAGAACACCAGUGGCGAAGGCGGCUCACUGGCUCGGUACUGACGCUGAGGUGCGAAAGCGUGGGGAGCAAACAGG